rnacentral:lncRNA from 1 species
AUGAGUUUGUCAUAUUCUCUUCCCCUGCCACAGUGCCUGUAAAAGCCAUAUAUUGAGAUAGCAGAAUUUCACGAUGGAGCAAGUAUGGAUCUCUGAUCAGUGGAUGAAAGAAUGCCCCUUGGCUUGCAUUUUUGUGUAAAGAAGAAAGAAACUUCUGUGUGCAAAGCCAUCGUGUUGUUUAUUUUCACAGUAGUAGCCUUGAGUUCAGUUUUUGGACUCUUACAUAUAAUAUUGCCUUGAAAAAUCAUUCCGGAUUAAAUAUUUCUUAUGUUUGAGAUUUUCUUGCUAUAUGACUAGAAGUGGAACUAAUGGCUCAAAGCUUCUGAGGCUUACUUCCAAGUUGUUUUCCAAAGUGUUGUUUCUAUUAAAAAUGCAUUGAGUGUCAUUUCUCACUAAACUAUCAAGAUCAUUAAUUACUAAGAUCGAGAUAAUAUAUUCAAGCACAUGAAAGAGACAAAGAAAUAUCAUUGUUGAUUUGAUUCAUACUCAUUUCAUUAUCAGUGAAGUUGACCUUGUUUUCAUGCAUUUAUUUUUUUAAUAGCUUUAUUUAGGUGUAACUGACCUACAAUAAACAGCACAUAUUAACAGUGUAAAACUUGAUAAGUUUUGAUAUCUGUAUAUGCCAGUGGAAACAUUACUACAAUCAAGAAAAUGAACAUUUGGAGAUGAUCUCCAAGACUUUCCCUAUGCUCAUUUACAAUCCCUCUCUUCUACUCAUCUCUGACUUAAAAGAUGUGGCUCCUCUAUCUUUGGCUUGCGUUGUUUAUGAUAAGUCAGCUUUCAUCAUUAUUUUUGUAGUUUUGUAUGUAUAUUUUUUCCCUCUGACGAUUUUUAAGGUUUUCUCUUUAUUACUCAUUUUAAGCAAUUUAUUAUAUGUCUUAGUAUAGUUUUAUGUGUGUGUGUGUGUGUGUGUGUUUGGGGAUCACCAAGGUUCUUUGAACUUUGGAUUUAUAGUUUUCGUCCAAUUUGGUAAUUGAGGGGGAAUUCUUUCUCCAAAUAUUUUUCCAAUUACAUGUAAACUAGGUAGAUUAAGUUUCUCAUAUUUUAUAUAUGCUCAGUUAGAUUUUUGCUCUUUUUUCUCUUUGUAUUUCAUUUUGAAUAGUUCCUAUUGCUGUGUCACCAACUUAACUAAUUUUUUUUUUACAGUGCAUAAUCCUGCUGUUAAUUCCAUCCAGUUGUGUUUUUCUCUUAGGAACCGUAUUUUUCAUGUCUAGAAGUUAGUUUUGGUUCUUUAAAAAUAUUUUCCAUGACUUUAAUCUUUUAAACAUAUGAUUGCAGUUAUAAUAAUUGCUUUGAUGUUUUUGAGUGCUAGUUCAAAUGCCUGUGCUAGAUUUGGGUCUUCUUUUAAUCUUAAUUUUUUUUUAGAGGUGGAAUCUCACUAUGUUGCUCAGGCUGGAGUGCUGUGGCUACUUCACAGAAGAAUAUUUCAGUCCUGAUAUUUGCUGUAACUAAUAAUUACUGGAUAAACAGAGAAGACACAUGGAGGAUAUUUUACCUGGGUCCAACAAAACCAUAGCAACAGCAGCAAGUUGAAAAGAGCAAAAAAAAAAAAAAGAGAGAGACCGAAGUACAAUUACAAUCCCAUCCCACAAAAAGGUCAAGGGCUACCUGAAAGACCGGUGGCCCCAGGAUCCUCAAAGCAUCCAAACCAUCCCUAUACUCUCAGGAAAGAAAUAAAAGCCAAAGUGAUAACUUAAAAAUGAAGCUGCCACCCACAGGGGAUGAGGACUUGGAUGGAGCCCAGCAUCAACAAGGCGGAUCACUUGAGCCUGGGAGUUUGAGGCUGCAGUGAGCCAUGAUUGUGUCACUGCACUUCAGCCUGGGAACAGAGCAAGACCCUGUCUCAAAACAAACAAACAAAAACAAAAGAGUCCAAUAACCUUCAUGGACACACAACCAUUCUUAAUAAAAUGUUAGCCAAUCAAGUCCAUCAAGUUACAAAAAUAUAAUAGAUUGUGACCAUGGGGAGUUUAUGCAGGAAAUGCAAUGUUGAUUCAACAUCCAAAACUAAUUCUAAUCAAUGUUAUUUCAUUUAUCAACAGACUAAAAGGAAAAACCAAUUCAUCAUCUUAAUAGAUGCAGAAAAGACAGUAAAUAUAAUUCAAUACUCAUUAAUGACAAGGACUGUAAAAGACUAGUUAUAGAAGAUACUUCUUAACCAAGGAUGGUGUCUAAUGAAUAACUUGCAGCUAACAACAGCUAACAUUAUGAAAGAUUAAUUUUCCUCUAACAUUGAAAAAAUGACCUGUAUGUUUAUACUCAUCAUUUCUCUUCAACUGAGAGUCCUAGCCAAAAUCAUAAGGUCAGGAAAAAAUAAAUAAUAGGGAUACAAAUGAGAAAGAAACAAAAUAAAACAAUUUUAAACUUCAGGCAAUGUUAUUAUAUACAUAAAACAUAAAGACUCUACGAUAAAGCUUGUAGACAUAAAGGAGUUUGGCAAGGUUGCAAGUGGCAAAGACAAUAUAUAAAGUAAAUAUAUACACACACACACACAUAUACAUAUAAGUAUAAAAAACACACCAUUAAAAAAAUGAAGUAAGGAAUUCCAUUUCUUCAUAGCUCCAUAAAAACAACUAACAAGGCCGGGCAUGGUGGCUCAUGCCUGUAAUCCCAGGACUUUGCGAGGCCGAGGCAGGUGGAUCAUGAGGUCAGGAGUUAGAGUCCAGC